AGUGAACGCUGGCGGUAGGCCUAACACAUGCAAGUCGAACGGCAGCACAGUAAGAGCUUGCUCUUACGGGUGGCGAGUGGCGGACGGGUGAGGAAUACAUCGGAAUCUACUUUUUCGUGGGGGAUAACGUAGGGAAACUUACGCUAAUACCGCAUACGACCUACGGGUGAAAGCAGGGGAUCUUCGGACCUUGCGCGAUUGAAUGAGACGAUGUCGGAUUAGCUAGUUGGCGGGGUAAAGGCCCACCAAGGCGACGAUCCGUAGCUGGUCUGAGAGGAUGAUCAGCCACACUGGAACUGAGACACGGUCCAGACUCCUACGGGAGGCAGCAGUGGGGAAUAUUGGACAAUGGGCGCAAGCCUGAUCCAGCCAUACCGCGUGGGUGAAGAAGGCCUUCGGGUUGUAAAGCCCUUUUGUUGGGAAAGAAAAGCAGCAGGUUAAUACCCCGCUGUUCUGACGGUACCCAAAGAAUAAGCACCGGCUAACUUCGUA
rnacentral:rRNA from 1 species